rnacentral:rRNA from 1 species
AACGAACGCUGGCGGCAGGCUUACACAUGCAGUCGAACGGGCGCUUUCGGGCGUCAGUGGCANACGGGUGAGUAACGCGUGGGAACCUACCCAUUGGUACGAAAUAACCCGGGGAAACCCGUGCUAAUACCGUAUACGCCCUGGUUUUAGGAUUGGGGGAAAGAUUCAUCGCCGAUGGAUGGGCCCGCGUCGGAUUAGCUUGUUGGUGUGGUAACGGCGCACCAAGGCGACGAUCCGUAGCUGGUCUGAGAGGAUGAUCAGCCACACUGGGACUGAGACACGGCCCAGACUCCUACGGGAGGCAGCAGUGGGGAAUAUUGGACAAUGGGCGCAAGCCUGAUCCAGUCAUGCCGCGUGAGUGAACAAGGCCUUAGGGUUGUAAAUCUCUUUCGGCGGGGAAGAUAAUGACGGUACCCGCAGAAGAAGCCCCGGCUAACUCCGUGCCAGCAGCCGCGGUAAUACGGAGGGGGCUAGCGUUGUUCGGAAUUACUGGGCGUAAAGGGCACGGUAGGCUGGCUGUUAAGUCGGGGGUGAAAUCCUGAGGCUCAACCUCCAAAUUGCCUCCGAUACUGGCGGUCUCGAGUGCGGGAGACGUGANUGGAAUUCCCAGUGUANAGGGUGAAAU